GACGAACGCUGGCGGCGUGCUUAACACAUGCAAGUCGAACGGAAAGGCCCUGCUUUUGUGGGGUGCUCGAGUGGCGAAAGGGUGAGUCACACGUGAGUAACCUGCCCUUUCCUUUGGGAUAACUUCAGUAAACUGGGGCUAAUACCGGAUAUUAGCUCCUGCUGCAUGGUGGGGGUUGGAAAGUUUCGGCGGUUGGGGAUGGACUCGCGGCUUAUCAGCUUGUUGGUGGGGUAGUGGCUUACCAAGGCUUUGACGGGUAGCCGGCCGGAGAGGGUGACCGGCCACAUUGGGACUGAGAUAAGGCCCAGACUCCUACGGGAGGCAGGAGUGGGGAAUAGUGCACAAUGGGCGGAAGCCUGAUGCAGCAACGCCGCGUGCGGGAUGACGGACUUCGGGUGGUAAACCGCUUUCGCCUGUGACGAAGCGUGAGUGACGGUAAUGGGUAAAGAAGCACCGGCUAACUACGUG
rnacentral:rRNA from 1 species